rnacentral:rRNA from 1 species
UACAGGGGGCUCGAGCGUUAGUCGGAAUCACUGGGCUUAAAGGGUGCGUAGGUGGCUCGCCAAGUGUUUUGUGAAAUCCCACAGCUCAACUGUGGAACAGCAGGGCAAACUGGCGAGCUUGAGGCAGGUAGGGGCCGGAAGAACAGUUGGUGGAGCGGUGAAAUGCGUAGAUAUCAACUGGAAUGCCGAUGGGGAAGCCGUCCGGCUGGGCCUGUCCUGACACUGAGGCACGAAAGCCAGGGGAGCAAACGGG